AUCUCGAGGGUACUUGCAACUUUUGAUUGAUUUGUCCGUCCCUGGGAUACUUUCAGCCAACCUUCUGCCAAACUCCAUGUUAGGAAGUUGCUGUGUUUGGUGCUGUAACUCCUGGAAGCGCUGCAGAGACUCAUCAAUAACCUUGUGCAGCUUUCCAGUCAAGAAAUGAAAAACACGAACCUAAAAAAUUUAAAAUAAAUCUUUGAAAUGUAUCAAUCCAACAAUUAAGACUUUAAGUCUGUUCGUCCAUCUAUCACAGGAAUAUAUGUUUGUAACUCUAUAGAGAAUUGAAUAUUAUUUAUAAUUAUUGCUAUAACUACAAAAUUAAAUAGUAAUAACAGAA